rnacentral:rRNA from 1 species
UGAGGGUCAUUAAGAAUUUGUCUUUAUUUUGACUUUUUUAUUGUCGAAGUUAAAGUAGUUCGUUAGCCUCCCCAGCUAAAUCUACUUUCUUUUAUUUUUAUAGGUAGAUAAAGAUUCAAGGGGUCUUCUCGUCCUUCUAUGAAAUUUCUUCUUUUUUAAAGAAAAAUUAAGUUUAAUUUUAUAAAUUGAGACAAUACUAAGUUCAUUAACCCUAUCAUUCUAUUUUACAAUUAAUAAACUAAUUAUUAUGCUACCUUUGCAA